CGAUUUUAAUACAUGCUAGCUUAUGUGCCUUUUAUUUACAAGCCGCUUUUACCUUUGUUUAUUUUAAAAGAAUUGCGAUAUCGUGAAAAUACGUUUCGAACCACGUCGCAAUCAAUGCACCCGUGGUUGUCAACACAUUUCGACUUCGUGAAGAUUUGGAUUUGGGUCACCACGUCGUAAUAUUGUUUUGGGGUAGGCCGUGAAAUUCGCUAAACGGCCUCUCGAUUUCUAAGCACUUUUUCACAUAACAAUUAUUGAGGGCCCCGUAUUUUGUAUUUUUAUUCGGCGAGGCUUGUCUCAUUUUAUUAAUUAAAGAACAAGCCUAAAGUAAUUAUGAUUUUCUACAUUUUUGUCUCUAGUAAUAAAGGGAAAAAAGUCCUAAUUAGCUAUUUUGUUUAAGAAACUAUUAUAGUCAAGUUUAUGAGUUCAUACAAAUUCCCGUCCUCGACCAGCGUGGGCUCGAACACAGCCCGCACAGAAGAAUUACCACACAGAUGGGCAUAAAGAAUAAUCCAGUCAAGCCUGGCCCAGGUCCAAACGAAUAGACAAUUGUACUGAGACUUGGGCAGUUUGUUCGAAUAUCAAGGCCCAAAACUGCCCAGGAUGACUGCUGAGCUAAACGAAUUAAGCUAAAGGCCUGCUGAGAUCAACGCAAAUGGGUCUAAGUGUUUUUUUUUGACAGUUGUAUCCUCAAAUACUAAUAAGGUGAAAAACAAAUUGAAAAAAAAUGAUUUUAUUGACACACAACCUACAGACUACUUUUGGAAUUAGUUUUGACUAACAUUGCUAAUUCAACAUUCAAAUGACAUAUGAAUUUAGAAAUGAACUACUAUGAUUAAGAACGAGACUUAUAGAUUGGUUUUCUACUCAUUAAAAAAAACUGUAAAUAUGCAUGAGGACUUCAGACCUCGAAAUUGCUUCCUGUUUCAAUUAAUCCUUCGACUUCAAUAAUCAAACUACACAGGAAGAAAAUUAAACUAAUUAAAACCAACGAUCAAUUUCCAGCUCAAAAUUGUUGCUCAGUUCGAAAAAGUAUAUACUAAAUACACUAGAUUAACUAUAACUAAUACUGAUCUACAUUUAAUAGUCCAACUAAAUGUAAGAUCCCUAAAUUAAUUAACCUUCAAUUACCAAAUGAUAGUCAACACAGUCUAAAUCAACCUAAGACAGUCCCAAUUAUAUAGUCCAUGUGUGUGUCUGUUAUCCAUAUAACACGGAACAAAUAAUUCACAUCAACUACCUCUACUUAACUACAAAUCUAUAGAAUUGUAAACAACAGAUAGCAUCCAAAUGACCAGAUUAUUUCCAUUUCAACUUCCAUUCACAGCUAGAACAAAGUUAUUCGAAGAAGUGUACCUGGAAAUAGAAAUUUAGUAAGAAGAAAAGGAGAUCAGCACCAAUAGCAAGCAGAAUUCGAACAAUUAGCUCAGAAAUAGGUUCACUAACCCAGGAGAAGUUCGAAACCAAACAACAUCAGAAACUUAACACAAGACCUCUCGAAUAAGCUCUAAAAUACUUGAAAUCGAAUCCAGGAUCUCCAGAAAGCCAAGCACACAACCCAAAAUAGCUCAAACAAUACCAAUCAAUUUCCAACAGUAAGAAUACCAACAUCAAAUGAUCAAAAACAAACCAGAAAAGUGUUUGCAGUCACCCAGAAUGACCAGAUCAACUAAAACCAACUCCCAUGACCCCAAAAUCACUUGAAAACCAACCAAUAAGCCUCGAAAACUCCAGUAAACAGAUAAUGAGGCAUUAGAGGUGCCUUUUAUAGGCUAAAAUGAGGGCAGCCCUGAAAUCUUUAAUUAUACUAUAUGUCCCUCUUUCUUUUCAAUUUGACCAUUCUAUUUCUAGCUUGCUACCCAAGUUACUGCCCUAUAUCUAUUAAAAUCUACGCUAAAGUUAGGAUACUCUUUUAGCAAGACAAUUCCUAUACUACCCUUCCCUUGUUUUAAAAUUACAAUUCCUAAAUAUUCUACCCUUUUCUAUCCCUAAAAAGCCCGUGAAAGCUUCCCAAAAUUACUGAUUCUCCCAAUCCCCCUUUUUACCUAUAAUUACCUAUUUCAGUUAGUUAAACCCACCCCCCUUAACACUAGUUAAACAAAAGGCUCGACUACACAGUAAACCAGAACUACCAAUUAUUCUCAACCACAUUAAUCAAGCAAACACCAAACUAAACGACUAAACAGAAUCAACAUUGCGAACUCAACUAAUCCUAAUCCAACUACAACCAAACGGGCAAAUUAUAGGGAACCAUAUCAGAAAUGAAUCGACUAGUUUACUAAUAAGCCGGAAAAAUCAACAACUAAGCUAACAAAAUUAGAAUUAACCAACUUGAAACAAAACCAAAAUUAAACUAUCAUGAACCAACUAACUAACAGUUAGACUAUGAUCAAACAAGACGAGGUGAAUCAGACAAACAACUAACGCGACUCAGAACACAAGAUGGGACAAAAUCAAAUGCGACUCAAACUAAAAAUUAACCUAUAUGAGAAAGCACAAUUCAAUCCUAAAUUGAACUUCUUAAAUCCGCAAAAUAAUACAAGCAUUUCAAAUGAAAAUUAACAAAACAGUAACAGCCGAGAAACUGAAAGCAACGAAAAAGAAAGAAGAAAGGGGAAGAAGAAAAACGAAACGGGUCUCACAGCUUUAAAAAUUGACUCCAAACUUGAGCGAACUUGGCAAUACUCGAACCUCGCCAAGGGUCGAUUCUUCACGAGGAGACGAGGCGACCUUGGCGUGUUAAUUUGAGACCAAACGGAGGACCCUAAGACUUGAAUGCCAUUUUUGAUCGAAAAUUCGAGACAUUGCAGACUGAUUUGAGGGAAAAUCUUGACGGAUUGGUGAUGAAGCGGAGGAGAAGGUCUGGCAUUGUGAAUUUGGCCCCGUUUGGACGAGUUAGGGUUUUCGCCGGAAAACUUCGAUUGAAUAUUCGACGAGUUUUGUUCUGAUUCGAGGGAUUUCAAGCGUGGGAGUUGAAAGAGGAACGCGAGGAGAAUUGGUGGUGUGAAUUUGGGAUGGUUUGAAGGUGAGGUCGUUCACCGGCGGUGGGGUUCCGGCGAUGGCGAUGAGGGAGUGUACGGAUGUACGAGGAAGAAGAUGUGUCGUUA
rnacentral:lncRNA from 1 species